GACGAACGCUGGCGGCGUGCUUAACACAUGCAAGACGAACGGUAAGGCCCUUCGGGGUACACGAGUGGCGAACGGGUGAGUAACACGUGGGUGAUCUGCCCUGCACUUCGGGAUAAGCCUGGGAAACUGGGUCUAAUACCGGAUAGGACCACUGCCUGCAUGGGUGGUGGUGGAAAGCUUUUGCGGUGUGGGAUGGGCCCGCGGCCUAUCAGCUUGUUGGUGGGGUGAUGGCCUACCAAGGCGCCGACGGGUAGCCGGCCUGAGAGGGUGACCGGCCAAACUGGGACUGAGAGACGGCCCAGACUCCUACGGGAGGCAGCAGUGGGGAGUAUUGCACAAUGGGCGCAAGCCUGAUGCAGCGACGCCGCGUGAGGGAUGACGGCCUUCGGGUUGUAAACCUCUUUCAGCACCGACGAAGCGCAAGUGACGGUAGGUGCAGAAGAAGGACCGGCCAACUACGUGCCAGCCGCCGCGGUAA
rnacentral:rRNA from 1 species